UACAGAGGUCCCAAGCGUUGUUCGGAUUUACUGGGCGUAAAGGGUGCGUAGGUGGCGAGGUAAGUUCGAUGUGAAAUCUCCGAGCUCAACUCGGAAAUGGCAUUGAAUACUAUCCCGCUUGAGGGUCGGAGGGGAGACUGGAAUUCUCGGUGUAGCAGUGAAAUGCGUAGAUAUCGAGAGGAACACCAGUGGCGAAGGCGAGUCUCUGGACGACUCCUGACACUGAGGCACGAAAGCUGGGGGUGCAAACAGG
rnacentral:rRNA from 1 species